UGCAACAAGCCUUGCUUUAUAUCUGAGUUCGUCAACUCCUGGAGUCCCUUUUUUCUUUUUAAACACUCAUUUACAAUGAACAACCUUUUUACCUUUAAGAAGUUUCACAAGAUCCCAUGUUCUAUUUUUGUGGAGUGAUUCCAUCUCCUCUUGCAUAGCAAACAUCCACUUUUCUGAGUCUUCACAGCUAAUUGCCUCAGAAUAAUUAGAUGGCUCUCGG
rnacentral:lncRNA from 1 species